GAUUACGGCCAUACCACACUGACAACGCCCGAUCUCGUCUGAUCUCGGAAGCUAAGCAGAGUUGGGCUGGGUCAGUACUUGGAUGGGUGACUGCUUGGGAAUACCUGGUGCUGUAAGCA
rnacentral:rRNA from 1 species